rnacentral:rRNA from 1 species
CAGUCGCCGCGGGAAUACGUAGGGUGCGAGCGUUAAUCGGAAUUACUGGGCGUAAAGCGGGCGCAGACGGUUACUUAAGCAGGAUGUGAGAUCCCCGGGCUCAACCUGGGAACUGCGUUCUGAACUGGGUGACUAGAGUGUGUCAGAGGGGGGUGGAAUUCCACGUGUAGCAGUGAAAUGCGUAGAGAUGUGGAGGAACACCGAUGGCGAAGGCAGCCCCCUGGGCCAAUACUGACGCUCAUGCACGAAAGCGUGGGGAGCAAACAGAAUUAGAUACCCCUGUAGUCCCUGUCUCUUAUCC